rnacentral:rRNA from 1 species
UACGUAGGUGGCAAGCGUUGUCCGGAUUUAUUGGGUUUAAAGGGUGCGUAGGCGGUCUUCUAAGUCAGUGCUGAAAUAUCCCGGCUUAACCGGGAGGGUGGCAUUGAUACUGGGAGACUUGAGUAAAGUUGAGGUAGGCGGAAUUGACGGUGCAGCGGUGAAAUGCUUAGAUAUCGUCAAGAACACCAAUAGUGAAGACAGCUUACUAAACUUUAACUGACGCUGAGGCACGAAAGUGUGGGGAUCAAACAGG